AAUGGGGGAUAACGUAGCGAAAGUUACGCUAAUACCGCAUAUGCCCUGAGGGGGAAAGUGGGGGAUCGCAAGACCUCACGUUUUCGGAGCGGCCGAUAUCAGAUUAGCUAGUUGGUGGGGUAAAGGCCCACCAAGGCGACGAUCUGUAGCUGGUCUGAGAGGACGACCAGCCACACUGGGACUGAGACACGGCCCAGACUCCUACGGGAGGCAGCAGUGGGGAAUUUUGGACAAUGGGGGCAACCCUGAUCCAGCCAUGCCGCGUGAGUGAAGAAGGCCUUCGGGUUGUAAAGCUCUUUCGGACAGAAAGAAAUCGCACGGGCCAAUACCCCGUGUGGAUGACGGUACUGUAAGAAGAAGCACCGGCUAACUACGUGCCAGCAGCCGCGGUAAUACGUAGGGUGCGAGCGUUAAUCGGAAUUACUGGGCGUAAAGCGUGCGCAGGCGGUUUAUUAAGACAGAUGUGAAAUCCCCGGGCUUAACCUGGGAACUGCAUUUGUGACUGGUAGGCUAGAGUGUAGCAGAGGGGGGUAGAAUUCCA
rnacentral:rRNA from 1 species